rnacentral:lncRNA from 1 species
UAGCAGGCAAACACAACGCACCCGGGGUGGGGAGGGUGUCGUGGCAGGCAGGGAGCCGCCGGGACCGCCGCGGGUGGGAUGCCACGCUGCUGGUCCUGGUUUUUCCCUUUGGGAACCACACUAAGGUGUCUCCCAGCAUCCUGCCCCGGGCAGGGGGUCCUCCUCGCCCCGCCAGCUCUCCGCAGGAACUUCUCCCGCUGAACUGGAGGAUGCUGCAAGCUCCUGCGGACGAGCUGGAGGAGUCCUGUGGCAAAGUCAAGGCAAGCACGGAAUCAGCGUGCUCGUGCCGGGUGUCACCGCAGCUCGCUGCCUCCAGCCCAGCCUGCUGCGGCCAGUGUCACCUCCAGAACCGAACCAGGUUUAGAGCAGACUCAUCGCAGCUCUCGCUCCCGACCAGCCGAUCAUGGGUAGGUUGGGUGACGUGUGGGGUGUGGGGUCUGGGCCCUGCAGUGGGACCGAUCGUAGGGGGCAUGGGGACCCUGGGGUUUGUCCCUUCUCCCUUCUCCCACCACGUGUCUGCAGGGCUGGAGGAAAGCAGUGCUGGGAGAGCUGCUGCUGCCACCGGGCCCCUGCCCUGCCCAGCACAGGGUGCUGGGCUCUGGCCAGGAGGAGCUUUAGUGCCCACACGCCUAUCCAUCUGUAUUUUCCUUCUUAGCCAUUUUUCCGGUUGCCAUUGCAUUCUUUGUGGGACUCGCCAUAGGAGCUGUAAUUGUAGCACUGGCAAAUGAUAAGACCAUGGACUUCUCCAUAAAUGCUGAGGGUGCACGUAUCCAUGUGGGGAAAAAACAAAAGGCCUGACUCUGCACUGCAAGCAUCAGCAGCAGACACUGUGCUGUCUGUUAAAAGAACUGGUGACCAUGGCAGUGAAUAGAAGAUUUCCUUCCUUUCAAGUAGCCUGAUUCAAUGUCUUCCCCCUGCUGGAACUGGAAAGCCCCCCAGCUUCCCCUUUAACAGCAGUUGGAUUACUUUGAGCAAUAAAUGCUUUGAAAGCUUUAACA